AUUGAACGCUGGCGGCAGGCCUAACACAUGCAAGUCGAGCGGAUGAAGGGAGCUUGCUCCUGGAUUCAGCGGCGGACGGGUGAGUAAUGCCUAGGAAUCUGCCUGGUAGUGGGGGAUAACGUCCGGAAACGGGCGCUAAUACCGCAUACGACCUGAGGGAGAAAGUGGGGGAUCUUCGGACCUCACGCUAUCAGAUGAGCCUAGGUCGGAUUAGCUAGUUGGUGGGGUAAAGGCCUACCAAAGCGACGAUCCGUAACUGGUCUGAGAGGAUGAUCAGUCACACUGGAACUGAGACACGGUCCAGACUCCUACGGGAGGCAGCAGUGGGGAAUAUUGGACAAUGGGCGAAAGCCUGAUCCAGCCAUGCCGCGUGUGUGAAGAAGGUCUUCGGAUUGUAAAGCACUUUAAGUUGGGAGGAAGGGCAGUAAGUUAAUACCUUGCUGUUUUGACGUUACCAACAGAAUAAGCACCGGCUAACUUCGUG
rnacentral:rRNA from 1 species